AAGAGGUGGACCAGAUAGACAUUACCUGCCUACCAAGUGACACUGGAUCACCCUUCAAGGAAUUAGAUGGAAGAACACUUAAAGACCACGUUGCACUUGAGAGACCUGACCAAGAUGAUGGUGGGGAACCUAUCCUGUCCAUACGUUCAAGUGAAAGAGUUCCAGAUGAUCUUCACAAUGAUGCUUAUUUUAAGCUUCAAGUGGAAACAGAUAUCAUUUCAAAAGCCGAAAUAUUGGUGCAUGAGCUUGUUGGACACAGAGUGAAAA